UAAUAAAAAAAGGCCGAGCUUAUUCCUCAACCCGGCCUAGGGAAAAUGGCUCUGUUAGAGAGCCGUGCGCUAAAAUGCCAUUGAGACGUAGAACAACUUACCUCUUAUAGAGUAGUUGACACAGGAUAAUUUACCAAGUU
rnacentral:sRNA from 1 species